rnacentral:misc_RNA from 1 species
GACUGCCGGCGCCUGUGUCUUUUCAAUCCGUGGCUAAUGAGCCUGACCCUAUGAUGAGUGCUUGCGUGCUGCUACCAGGAAGCUGGAAGUUGCAUUCGCUAUAUGUCGCCUUCGUUGCGUGCGCCCUUAGGGUGUUGCAUGUCGACUUGGAAACAUUCAUGUCGUUGCCUCGUGUUGCUAGCCACCUAGGCUGGCAUCAUCAAGGCCACCUCAUGUUUGCUUUUGGUCAUGGAUGUGGCUUACACAAAAGGCCGUUGGUGCUUUGAUGCCUCGUGCCUAGCAAAGAUUGUCCGACCGGAAACAAUGACAGUUGGCCCGGCUGAUGCCCUGUGCGGACGUCGGUGCC